UAGAGUUUGAUCAUGGCUCAGAUUGAACGCUGGCGGCAUGCUUUACACAUGCAAGUCGAACGGCAGCACGGGUGCUUGCACCUGGUGGCGAGUGGCGAACGGGUGAGUAAUAUAUCGGAACGUAUCCGGAAGUGGGGGAUAGCUCGGCGAAAGCCGGAUUAAUACCGCAUAUGCCCUGAGGGGGAAAGUGGGGGACCGUAAGGCCUCACGCUUUCGGAGCGGCCGAUAUCAGAUUAGCUAGUUGGUGGGGUAAAGGCCUACCAAGGCGACGAUCUGUAGCGGGUCUGAGAGGAUGAUCCGCCACACUGGGACUGAGACACGGCCCAGACUCCUACGGGAGGCAGCAGUGGGGAAUUUUGGACAAUGGGCGAAAGCCUGAUCCAGCCAUGCCGCGUGAGUGAAGAAGGCCUUCGGGUUGUAAAGCUCUUUCAGACGGGAAGAAACGGACACGGAUAAUACCCGUGUCUAAUGACGGUACUGUCAGAAGAAGCACCGGCUAACUACGUGCCAGCA
rnacentral:rRNA from 1 species